AUGGCGGACGGACAGGGGGAGUUCCGGACCGCGGGGCUCCUUGGCCAUGGCGGACGCUGGCUUCGGCCUCGUCCAGGAUGGUGCUAUGGCAGAAAAUCAAGCGCGGGGAGAGAGGGGAUACGAACGGCGGCUCACAGUGAGGUCAGGGUGUGCUUGGAGAGGUCGGGGGCGCUGGUGUUGCAGGUCGAGGCAGCGGCGAUGCCGACGGUGGUGGAGCAAGGCGAUCCGGCGGAGGAGAGCUUCCCGGCUCCAGCUAGUGGUCCAGGAGGAAGAAGCAGUGGGCAGUGCACCUCGUGGGCCCCAUCCAAUGUCCUUGAGAGAGAGCUGAUCUACAUCACCUUCCGCAUAAAUAUAUCGACACACAUACGUCAACUUGAUCAUGAGAGGCAGCUUGUAUGUCGUCUUUGUCAUUGGUACGACCGGUACUGGUCGUAUCACUUCGUCGCGGCAAUUCUUGCCGGGAGUAAGAACGGUUACUUGAAAAGGCUUAGGCAGUCAGCUCUAACAAGGAAAUGCAAAACUGAUUUCGCAAAAGAAGUAGAGGUGAUGGCCAGGCUCUGGCAUGCCAACCUUGUUUGCCUUCUUUCUUACUGCAAUGAAGUCGACAAGCGGAUACUCAUCUACGAAUUGGGAUCACAAAUUCACAAUAGAUCAUCAAGUUCUCUUCUGCAACUAUUGGUUAUCGUUGUUCUGUGCUCCAGUAGAGAAGUACAGCUCAUUGCUAAAUGGGCUAGAGUCAGGGAAACACAAUGUGCUCCAGUAGAGAAGUACAGCUCAUUGCUACAUGGGCUAGAGUCAGGGAAACACAAUAAGUUGCAUGCAGUCAAAGGCUCGGGUCAUAAUCCACUUGCUUGUGUAAACCAAGGCUAUCCACCUCAUCAACCUAUCCACCUCAGCUAUCCUGCAAUGUCACCAGCUCUCUACAAAGUGGCUAUUCGAUGCAUCGUAUCCUCCACCUCCCAGGCUCCCACCGCAUUUUCACUAAUGAACAAAGCAGCACUUCGUCUGCGUAUCUCAUCUCCGGCCGCUGCCUUCGGAAUCCAGCUCUGCAACGCAAUACCAUGUCACCACUCAAAGAUGUGGCUCGAUCUCGGCGAAAUCAGACCUCAACCUAUUCAGGUGGGGUAUUCCGGCGCGAUCUCGACGAGGCAUGGAGGGUGUCUCCGUCCGAUGCGUGUUUACCGCCUUCAAGAUUUCGUCUUCAAGGGCAGACUACAACUGCGGUGCACAGAGCGUCAAGCGAUGGUGUCUCUCCGUGACCAGGGUUGGCUGCAAGUGUUCUUCUUCGUCUGCGGCUUCGUUGUCCUUUGCAUAUUAAGAGAAAGGUGUCACCGGGCACCUGCAGCGCCUCACCGGUGCCCCACAUUGGCUUCGCCUAGCCGGGCUCCUCUGACCGUCCACAUCGGCUUCACUCGUCUGAGGCCGCCCUCCAUACUCCACUCCGCUCCAUCGCAAGGCAACAUGAACCUUGCUGCUUCCCGUCGUGAAGCCCCUUCAGUCCUCCCUUUGCUCUGGCGUGGAGCUGGCGAGCCGGUAGGCGUGGCUUGCAUUGGGCGAGGAAGAACAGGACUCUUUGCAGUUGGGAUCAGCCUAAUUAACUCGAUCUUGCAUAUUGUAGACACUGCUCCCAACAGCCAGGGCCCAAGAAAUUGUGAUUUUGGAUCCAUCUCCAUGGCACAUACCAUGAAUCAUCACCUUGCCAAGAUGAAGUUCAUGUGCCUUUACUUUGUUCUUUCAUACUCACCCGAUUUUCCUUACUAUUCAUGCAUUUAUUAUUCUGUUUGUUCCAUGCUUAAAGCGCUGGAAUUCCUGCUAUUUAUUUCCCAUGGCCAUUGGCACCUUUAG
rnacentral:rRNA from 1 species